CCAAAGAUUACUAUUUCCAGAUGUACUAUGAUGACUUGCCGCUUUGGGGUUUCUUAGGGAAGGCUGAGAAGGAUGCCAAAGCUGACCCCAGUGAGACCAAGUAUUAUCUAUUUAAGCACCUCCACUUUGAGAUACUUUACAAUAAGGAUCGUGUCAUUGAGGUUAAUGUAAGAACUGACCCUAAUGCUCUUGUGGAUCUUACCGAGGACAAAGAAGUUCUUGCAGACUUUAUGUACACUGUCAAAUGGAAAGAAACAGACACCCCUUUUGAGAAAAGAAUGGACAAAUACUCACAGUCAUCAAAUAUGCCACAUCAUUUAGAAAUACAUUGGUUCUCAAUCAUUAAUUCCUGUGUGACAGUUCUUCUCCUAACUGGAUUUUUGG
rnacentral:lncRNA from 1 species